GAUGAACGCUAGCUACAGGCUUAACACAUGCAAGUCGCGGGGCAGCAUGGGGGUUGCUUGCAACCCCCGAUGGCGACCGGCGCACGGGUGAGUAACGCGUAUCCAACCUGCCCUUCACCACGGGAUAACCCGGCGAAAGUCGGACUAAUACCGUAUGUUGUCCAUUGACGGCAUCCGAUUUGGACGAAAGGUUUGGCGGUGAAGGAUGGGGAUGCGUCCGAUUAGCUUGACGGCGGGGUAACGGCCCACCGUGGCUACGAUCGGUAGGGGUUCUGAGAGGAAGGUCCCCCACACUGGAACUGAGACACGGUCCAGACUCCUACGGGAGGCAACAGUGAGGAAUAUUGGUCAAUGGGCGUAAGCCUGAACCAGCCAAGUAGCGUGCAGGAUGACGGCCCUAUGGGUUGUAAACUGCUUUUAUGCGGGGAUAAAGGAGCCCACGUGUGGGCUUUUGCAGGUACCGCAUGAAUAA
rnacentral:rRNA from 1 species